CGUAGGGUGCAAGCGUUAUCCGGAAUUAUUGGGCGUAAAGAGCUCGCAGGCGGUUUGUCGCGUCUGCUGUGAAAACUGGAGGCUCAACCUCCAGCCUGCAGUGGGUACGGGCAGACUAGAGUGCGGUAGGGGAGAUUGGAAUUCCUGGUGUAGCGAUGGAAUGCGCAGAUAUCAGGAGGAACACCGAUGGCGAAGGCAGAUCUCUGGGCCGUAACUGACGCUGAGGAGCGAAAGCAUGGGGAGCGAACAGGAUUAGAUACCCUGGUAGUCCAUGCCGUAAACGUUGGGAACUAGAUGUAGGGACCAUUCCACGGUUUCUGUGUCGCAGCUAACGCAUUAAGUUCCCCGCCUGGGGAGUACGGCCGCAAGGCUAA
rnacentral:rRNA from 1 species